rnacentral:sRNA from 1 species
AGACUGGGAAACUCAUCAAAUAUUUAUGAAAUGCCGAGACAAGCUUUCGUUUCCAAUGGCGGGCCCCAACCUAUUUAUUAGGUGCUUUCAUGCCAGGCGGAUUACAAAGGAUAGGAAGCCCUCAAAUCCUGAUUAUCGGAGUUUCAUCGUAUCCCUUUGAUGUGGCUCUU